AUAAUGAGACUUUUGAGAAAACAUGUAUUGCUGAUUGGCUGUAGCUAUCCUAAAAUGGCCAAUUAAUAAAAGCACAUGCAUGCAACUACAAAAAGUGAAUUGUAGCAAUCGGUAAUGCAGCACUCAUGUUGCUAUUUUAGCCCAUAUGUGAGGCAUCAAACCUAAUAUUCAUGACAAUGAUGCCAAGAGUAUCUAAAAGUAGAUGAUGUUAAAAAUGUAUACUUUUAUGAGUUUUCUGACAUAAAUUACAGCCUAUUAGCUACUGCAGAGACUGGAUCUUCUAACCUUAAUGAACUGAUUUUGAUUGCAUGCAACCUUGCCUCUGUGCUCCUCUCUUCAAACCCCAUUCACAUGUGCUUUGUUCCACUACUUAUUUUUCUAAAUCGGGGACACCCCGGAGGUCCCCGGACUCCAGUUUGUGCACUGUUGAAGCCACAUAGCAGCUGAAGAAUCCCCCUUAUGAUAUGGAGGCAACACGCGUUGACGUGUCGCGCUGCGUUUCCGACCUCUAGUAUCGGUAUGCGUCUUCUGCACGCACACGCACACACAGCUCUCUCAUGGGGACAUGCGGCCAGGAGACGCAGCCAGGGACUCCUGUCAGACUUCAAACAGCAGAUGGACACCCCAGGAAAGGCAGCGGAGAGUCCUCCAGCGCCCAUCUGUGGCAGUCAAAAUGGACACUACAACGGCCAUCUUGCUUCCAGCAUUGGAGCAGAGGGACUGUACAACGCUGAAAGGCAAAAAGGGGGAUGAGGAGGGAAAUGGCAGUUUAGCUCCUUUGCCACAUGCACCUCAACCUGUAAAUGCUCUUUUUAAAUCAGUCACAUUUUAUUUAUUUUAUUUACAUCCAAAAGGUUCUCUAUGUGCUGAAAAUUAAGAGUCUUCAGCCAUGCUAGCAGCUCUGUGAGUCUGUAGCUAACAUGCUCACUGGGACAAUGCUAAAAUAUUUUAUCUCACCAAUGUCAGCUAGCGUGGCUGUAGGAAGGGCAUCUGAGGAAGGAAUGCCCAUCUGAGGAAGGGCAUCUGAGGUGUAUUCCUUUGCAGGUAGUAUUGUGUGUAUUUAACAUGUUAGCGGUCCAGCUGAAGCCAUAAAGAGUCACUCUACAGUAAAAGUUGUACUAAAUUUACAGCAGUGUUUGCCAGACUUUUUUGGAUGCUCAUGUGAGCCUUUAAAAUGAAGCAAUGCCUACUUGACAAGUAAAAAUACAUAGAGGAAAGUCUUAUCAUCAUAUAAUCUUAUAAAUUUACAUCCUCACCAAGAUGACAUAACUUACAAUGUCGCAGGACAUCCGAGUUGGCACCCUGCUGAAGCAUCUUAACAUGGACAAUUUGACUCCAGCAAACAACCUUUUCACACAUUGCCAGCACAAGAAAUUGGCAUUUACAGGUAAAGGUGCAAGUGUUUAAAAGAAAAGGGCCUGUUGUACUGUUAGCAGUCCUCUACUUCAGUGUUUCAGGUGGAAUGUCACCAUUUUUUGGAUAAGAGCUGUGUUAAGAGUAUUCUGUUUUCUGACCAAAAAGCAGUGGAUCCCAUGGAACCUGCUUGUUUAUCAUAUUCCCUCAGCAUGAAGUCAUUUCCCUCCUCGUUAAUUUCCCUGAUUGGCUGGUGUGGCAGCCAUUUUGGCUCUAAUUGGAGCUGCAGAGCCACAGGGCGCCCAGCGGUUGCUCAGUAGUCAGUGUAGAUCCUGUGGGGCUGGCAGCAGCUACAUCUGGCUACUGGGUCUCAGCUGGCAGCCAUGUUAUUGUGGAGACAUGACACAAUGUAUGAUUGAAUUUUAAGUUUAAAUGUACUCUGUAGAGUGUUUUCUGUGUACUUCACUCCCUCCUCUUGUGAUCUUUGCUGCUAUGUAGCUUUUAAAUUUCAAAGAAAUGUCUUGAGGGCCCACCCCCUGUGAAGAGAAAAUUCCUGCUGUCCUCCAAAACUACCCAUGCAGUCUAGGAUUAACUCUGCCACAGGCUUUUAUUUUUUUUUCAAUAAAAAUGACUUUUUGGAGAUACUGGGUAAGUUCUGGACCUGGCAUAUAGUGUAGGAUUCUGUGUGUCAGUCUACAGCUACAUUGUCUGCUGGGUUUCAGGCCUAUACUCGUACACAUCAACGUCUACAAAUGUUUCUUGGUUUUAUUAUGUAUGCAUUUUAAAUUGUAUACCAAAUGAAUAUAUGGAAGUUUUGUAUGUUUGAGGAACCAAAAGGCAUGGAUAAUUUGACAACUUUGUGUUUAUUGACUCAUCAUAAAACAUUCUUCAAACAAUAAAACAAUUUUAAAUGUC